ACAUUGGUAUUUAGUAAUGUUACCUACACUUAUGACAACAUAUUUUUAUUCAUCAAAAUUUAUAUUUACCAUAUCUUUUUCAUCAAUUACUCAUAUUUUUUAUAUAUUUGUUAUAAAAAUACUAUCUGUCAUAGCACCGUUAUAGUUGCAUAGCUGCCCAAAAAUGUUGCCACUAUUUUCAAUAGCCCACUAUUUUAAACUUUGCUUUGGAAUGGCCAUGAAUUUCUCGUUAAAAAAAAACAAAACAACGCAUGUGUCGUUAUCUGUCAUCAGAUAUAUAGAACACUAUCACAUAUAGAACAAAAUCCAUCAACAAACGCUGCUAGCAAUGCGACCAAAAGCGACACAGAAUAGAGCUGAGAUUAACGCAGACAGAUGUGAAAUUUUUCUAUUUGCUUACUUGCCAACGCAUGAUUGAUUUAGAGGGGAUAUCAGGAACUGAAUCUGUAGACAAAUCAUAGGCCCUGAAAUCCAAUUCAGUGCUUCGGCCAGUAAUUGGAACUACUGGGCCUUGAGCAAGGCGAGAUGCUAUAGCUAGUUCACUUCACUGGACCAAGUUCCAAGGAAAUCCAAGGAAGCUUCAGAGCUUGCUUUGAGAGCCUUCAGCCCUGAACGCCGUCAUCCGCUGCCUUCUGAUGGCCACCAGCUUGCCGGACUCCUUCCGGAUCUCCACUGUCACCGCCGUCAUCCGCCCUUUCUGCUCCCCCUCCGCCCAUCCAUCUCCACUUCCUCCUGGAUACACAACAUUCCAGUUCCUUUGAAACAUACAAGUACAUAUCCUUUCAAUGCUGUUUCUAAAUAUACACUGAACUGAACUUUGGAUUCCUUAACAAGCUUCCAUUGUUUGGAUAUUUCCUUGGAGGGAAAUGUAACACCCGAAAAUUUGCAACUUUUAGAAAUAGACGAAAAAUAGUUUAAUUUGUUAUUUUGUGCUCAUGAAACAUAAGAAAAAUAAUAUUUUCAUUAAAAUAAACUUUAUCAUAGGAUUAAUAACAUGGUUGUGCAUUCAUAAUGGAGCAUAUAUUUUAUUUCACUAUGUGGAUUUGAGAAAAGUCAAAAUGUUUUCAAAAUUAUUUUAAAUUGUUUUGAAAAAGCUUUGAAAUAAAAAGAAAAAAAGAAAAUCUCUCCUUCUUUUCCUGUUGCCCUGAGUGGCGCACCUCUCCCUCUCCCUAGUUUUGGCCCAAAGGCCCAGCUCCCAUCCCACAAGCCCAGCACACACUCAGCCCAACAGCAGGCCGCGCCCUUCCUUCCCCUCACUUCUGUCUUGCUGCCACCGGUGCCCGCCUGGCAGCGACCCCGGCCUUCUUCUACCUUACGCCGUAAGGAGGCUGGACACCGACCCGUGCUCAACCGAGCCUUCUAAAGCCUCUUGACCCUUCACUGCUCCCUCCUUUACCCUACAGUCCAUGCAAGGAGCCACUCUAGCCCUAAUUUCUUGCUAACAGAUCUCGCUUUGCCGGCAGUUCCGCCCACCGUAGUGGAGUUUCCAACUCGCUGCCGUUCCUACGGAUUCGAGCCUUGGCCGAGCUUCACAAUGCUCCUGCGAGGUCGCCAAGCCGUCUCCUUCUUUCUCUCGUGCUCUAGUUUGAUCGCUAACCCUCACCGAACCAUGCAGGAAAUUGAUCUCCGCCCUGCAUGGUUCAUCCCGAGACCUCAUUUCUGGAAUUAAGCGCUUCGGUGUGUUCGCGUUGGUCUCCUCUUUCUUGUGUUUUUCCUGUUGGAAAUCAUUCACUAAAUCAUCGGAUUUGCAAACUCCGGUGAACUCCUCACCACCGGCCAUGGCGCCACUGUGCCAGAGCUGCUGUUGCCGG
rnacentral:lncRNA from 1 species